UACGUAGGGGGCAAGCGUUGUCCGGAUUUAUUGGGCGUAAAGAGCGUGUAGGCGGCCAGGUAGGUCUGCUGUGAAAACUCGAGGCUUAACCUCGAGCUGUCGGCGGAAACCAUCUGGCUAGAGUCCGGAAGAGGAGAAUGGAAUUCCCGGUGUAGCGGUGAAAUGCGUAGAUAUGUGGAGGAACACCGAUGGCGAAGGCAGCCCCCUGGGAUAACACUGACGCUCAUGCACGAAAGCGUGGGGAGCAAGCAGG
rnacentral:rRNA from 1 species